AUGACGGCCAGCCGCCGCCGCCGCCGUGCCCCCUUGCCGGUGGCUGCGCCGCUGGAAGACGACGACCUCCUCUAGGAGAUCCUCCUCCGCCUCCCCCCGCAGCCUUCCUCACUCCCCCGCGCAUCCGCCGUCUGCAAGCGCUGGCUCCACCUCGUCUCUGACCCCGGCUUCGUCCUCCGCUUCCGUCGCCACCACCGACACAGCCCUCCCCUUAUCGGCUGCUUCACCCACGACCCGGAAGGCAUCUCCUACACACCUGCCAUGGAUGCCCCCGAUCGUAUCCCCUCCGUGCGCUUCUCCUUGGAGCUUGACCGCAGCCACUACUGCUGUCUCAUCGGCUGCUGCCAUGGCCUCGUGCUCAUCUCCCACAGAAGUAAGAGGCAACUCAUUGUGUGGGAUCCCGUCACCGGCGACCAGCACCGCGUUGCCAUUCCCCAUUGGUUCAAGGUGAUUGCAAACCCGAUCCAGGGGGAGGUGCUUCGUGCAGCCGACGAGGAGCACCACUUCCAGGUGGUCUUGUUAGAGGCUAACGAUCAACAUACGCGAGCCACUGUCUGCGUUUACUCCUCAGAGACUGGCUUAUGGGGUAAUAUCAUCAAUACAUCGAUCCCAUCCAAGGAAUACAGGAAUCUUUAUUCCUAUUACACCAUGUCUUUGUUGGGCAUGCCGGCUGUGCUGGUUGGGAAUUCCCUUUACUAGCGUCUUGCUGUGGGUUCCUAUACUAUUCUUGAGUUUGAUUUGGAGAGGCAGAGCCUAGUUGUGAUACAAGUGCCUGUGGAUAUAUCUGAAGCGAAGACCGACUUCACGCUUAUGCGGGCUGAGGGUGGCGGGCUGGGUUUACUCUCUGUGUCAGGCUUUACCGCCAAAUUGUGGAAGAGGAAAACUGAUUAUAAUGGUAUUGCAUCAUCGGGAAUGGGAAGAACUGUUGCAUUCGAUAAGUUACUUUCCCUGAAUUCAGAGAAGGAGAGAAGGAGGCCCCUAACGAUAAUAGGUUUUGCAGAGGAAAAUAAUGUGGUGCUCCUGUUGGCAGCUGAUGGUGUCUUCACGGUCCAGCUUGAGUCGUUGCAAUUCAGGAAACUUGAGGUACCCAGCGACAGGGUUCAUCAUCACCCAUUUGAAAGUGUCUAUGCUAGAGGUACAAUUAAUUUGAUAUUUUCUAUCUCUUCUACAAUUAAUUUGAUAUUUUCUAUCUCUUCUACAAUUAAUUUGAUAUUUUCUAUCUCUUCAACAUAUAGUGAUCUUGUGCUGUAG
rnacentral:rRNA from 1 species